GACGAACGCUGGCGGCGUGCUUAACACAUGCAAGUCGAGCGGAGAUAUAUUGAAGAUUUAUCGGAUAUAUAUCUUAGCGGCGGACGGGUGAGUAACGCGUGGGCAACCUGCCUCAUACAGGGGGAUAACACUGGGAAACUAGUGCUAAUACCGCAUAACAUAGAGAAGUGGCAUCACUUCACUAUCAAAGGAGCAAUCCGGUAUGAGAUGGGUCCGCGUCCGAUUAGCUAGUUGGUGAGGUAACGGCUCACCAAGGCGACGAUCGGUAGCCGAACUGAGAGGUUGAUCGGCCACAUUGGGACUGAGACACGGCCCAGACUCCUACGGGAGGCAGCAGUGGGGAAUAUUGCGCAAUGGGGGAAACCCUGACGCAGCAACGCCGCGUGAAGGAUGAAGGUUUUCGGAUUGUAAACUUCUUUGAUGAGGGACGAUAAUGACGGUACCUCAAAAACAAGCCAACGGCUAACUACGUGCCAGCAGCCGCGGU
rnacentral:rRNA from 1 species